rnacentral:rRNA from 1 species
UGGGGAAUUUUGGACAAUGGGCGAAAGCCUGAUCCAGCAAUGCCGCGUGUGUGAAGAAGGCCUUCGGGUUGUAAAGCACUUUUGUCCGGAAAGAAAUCCUCUGGGUUAAUACCUCGGGGGGAUGACGGUACCGGAAGAAUAAGCACCGGCUAACUACGUGCCAGCAGCCGCGGUAAUACGUAGGGUGCAAGCGUUAAUCGGAAUUACUGGGCGUAAAGCGUGCGCAGGCGGUUUUGUAAGACGGAUGUGAAAUCCCCGGGCUUAACCUGGGAACUGCAUUCGUGACUGCAAGGCUAGAGUAUGGCAGAGGGGGGUAGAAUUCCACGUGUAGCAGUGAAAUGCGUAGAGAUGUGGAGGAAUACCGAUGGCGAAGGCAGCCCCCUGGGCCAAAUACUGACGCUCAUGCACGAAAGCGUGGGGAGCAAAACAGGAUUAGAUACCCUGGUAGUCCACGCCCUAAAACGAUGUCAACUAGUUGUUGGGGAUUCAUUUCCUUAGUAACGUAGCUAACGCGUGAAGUUGACCGCCUGGGGAGUACGGUCGCAAGAUUAAAACUCAAAGGAAUUGACGGGGUCAUAGCUGUUUCCUA